rnacentral:pre_miRNA from 15 species
UUGAUGGUUUACAAAUUACGUGGUUCGACACCAUGGAUCUCCAGGUGGGUCCGAGAUAGAUGCACACCAACCUGGUGGACUCCAUGCUGUUGAGCUAUUCACAAGCAGCGAUGCUUCCUU